AACGCUAGCUACAGGCUUAACACAUGCAAGUCGAGGGGCAGCGCAGUGUAGCAAUACAUGGGCGGCGACCGGCGCACGGGUGCGUAACGCGUAUCCAACCUUCCCGUUACUCAGGGAUAGCCUUCCGAAAGGGAGAUUAAUACCUGAUGGUGUUCAAAUUCCGCAUGUUAUUUGAACUAAAGAUUUAUCGGUAACGGAUGGGGAUGCGUGACAUUAGGUAGAUGGCGGGGUAACGGCCCACCAUGCCUACGAUGUCUAGGGGUUCUGAGAGGAAGGUCCCCCACACUGGAACUGAGACACGGUCCAGACUCCUACGGGAGGCAGCAGUGAGGAAUAUUGGUCAAUGGUCGGAAGACUGAACCAGCCAAGUAGCGUGAAGGAUGAAGGUUCUAUGGAUUGUAAACUUCUUUUAUACGGGAAUAAAACCUCCCACGUGUGGGAGCUUGUAUGUACCGUAUGAAUAAGCAUCGGCUAACUCCGUGCCAGCAGCCGCGGUAAUACGGAGGAUGCGAGCGUUAUCCGGAUUUAUUGGGUUUAAAGGGAGCGUAGACGGGAUGUUAAGUCAGUUGUGAAAGGCUGCGGCUCAACCGCAGCACUGCAGUUGAUACUGGCGUCCUUGAGUGCGGUUGAGGUGUAUGGAAUUCGUGGUGUAGCGGUGAAAUGCUUAGAUAUCACGAAGAACUCCGAUUGCGAAGGCAGUACACUAAGCCGCUACUGACGUUGAGGCUCGAAAGUGUGGGUAUCAAACAGGAUUAGAUACCCUGGUAGUCCACACAGUAAACGAUGGAUACUCGCUGCCGGCGAUACAAUGUCGGUGGCUUAGCGAAAGCGUUAAGUAUCCCACCUGGGGAGUACGCCGGCAACGGUGAAACUCAAAGGAAUUGACGGGGGCCCGCACAAGCGGAGGAACAUGUGGUUUAAUUCGAUGAUACGCGAGGAACCUUACCCAGGCUCGAACGGCAAGCUGAAUGUUACCAGAGAUGGUUUCAGUCUUCGGACAGUUUGUCGAGGUGCUGCAUGGUUGUCGUCAGCUCGUGCCGUGAGGUGUCGGCUUAAGUGC
rnacentral:rRNA from 1 species